rnacentral:rRNA from 1 species
GACGAACGCUGGCGGCGUGCCUAAUACAUGCAAGUCGAACGCAGUGGGGUCGGGUGAGUAACACGUGCCUAACCUCCCUUCAGAGGGGAUAACACUUGGAAACAGGCGCUAAACCGCUACUGAUGGAUGGACACGCGGUGCAUUAGCUAGUUGGGGGGGUAACGGCUCACCAAGGCCACGAUGCAUAGCCGGCUGGAGAGGGUGAUCGGCCACACUGGGACUGAGACACGGCCCAGACUCCUACGGGAGGCAGCAGUGGGGAAUCUUGGGCAAUGGACGAAAGUCUGACCGAGCAACGCCGCGUGGAUGAAGAAGGGUUUCGGGUCGUAAAGCUCUGUUGUUAGAGAGGCGGUAUCUGAACAAGAAGCCACGGCUAACUACGUGCCAGCAGCCGCGGUAAUUC